rnacentral:misc_RNA from 1 species
UUUCCGUAGGUGAACCUGCGGAAGGAUCAUUACUGAGUGAGGGCCCCUCGGGGUCCAACCUCCCACCCGUGUUUAACGAACCUUGUUGCUUCGGCGGACUCGCCUCACGGCCGCCGGGGGGCAUCUGCCCCCGGGCCCGCGCCCGCCGAAGCCACCUGUGAACGCUGUCUGAAGUAUGCAGUCUGAGACAAUUAUUAAAUUAAUUAAAACUUUCAACAACGGAUCUCUUGGUUCCG